CCCCCCCCUCGGACUCACAAUCGGGUUCCACAUGAAAUUUCCUUCGUGGGGUGUGACCGCUACGUUGCGCCACUCCGGCUCGCCGUCCGAGGACCAAAGUCCAGGUAGUUAAGCCAUACGGUGACCCCUCCCCCAUCCCUAGCCACAUCCGCUUCCUCCCUCUCCGCGUCGCUAGGCCGAGCCCAUCCAAUUAUCUUCCUGUGUGUCUACCACUCCCCUC
rnacentral:lncRNA from 1 species